rnacentral:rRNA from 1 species
CCUACGGGAGGCAGCAGUGAGGAAUAUUGGUCAAUGGACGAGAGUCUGAACCAGCCAAGUAGCGUGAAGGGUGACUGCCCUAUGGGUUGUAAACUUCUUUUAUAUGGGAAUAAAACGUUCCACGUGUGGGAUUUUGUAUGUACCAUAUGAAUAAGGAUCGGCUAACUCCGUGCCAGCAGCCGCGGUAAUACGGAGGAUCCGAGCGUUAUCCGGAUUUAUUGGGUUUAAAGGGAGCGUAGGUGGAUUGUUAAGUCAGUUGUGAAAGUUUGCGGCUCAACCGUAGAAUUGCAGUUGAAACUGGCAGUCUUGAGUACAGUAGAGGUGGGCGGAAUUCGUGGUGUAGCGGUGAAAUGCUUAGAUAUCACGAAGAACUCCGAUUGCGAAGGCAGUUCACUGGACUGCAACUGACACUGAGGCUCGAAAGUGUGGGUAUCAAACAGGAUUAGAUACCCUUGUAGUC